UUUCAUGUUCAUUUUUUAAUUCUCAUUUAUUUUUCUGUUUUGAUUUUUAAUUCUUUAAAAUAUUUUCUUUAUUCAUAAAAAUCCCUAAAAAUAUUUUCCACAUUCCUUAAUGUUUUAUUUAAUUUAAUUUAUUUUUUAUUUUCGUAUUUAUUUAAUAUUAAUAUUUUAUUUUGAUUAUUUAUUCUAAAUGGUCCAUUUUAACACACUUAUUUUUCUUGAUUUUAUUUUUAUGUCUUAAAGUUA
rnacentral:lncRNA from 1 species